GGUUCGGUGGUCUAGGGGUAUGAUUCUCGCUUAGUGAGAGGACCCAAGGUUCAAAUACCGGCGAACCAAUGGGAUUUAUUUUUUAAUGCUCUCUCUAGUACGAUAUCAUUGUAAAAACAAAUUGAUUAAUGAAGAAGCUGUGCUUCGUGAGUUCGGUGGUCUAGGGGUAUGACUCGUCAGGUGCGAGAGGUCCCGGGUUCAAAUCCCGGCGAACCC